CCGGCAUAAUUCCCGAGGACCCCGCUGCAGGGGGCGAGGGGCCGAGUCUGCAACCUCGACCUCGCAGUUUCCCUGCGGGAGGAGUCGGUUCGCGGGGACAAGAGAUCGCGGCUGAGAGCCAUCUCACCUGGUCCGUCUGCCUCCCGCGACGCCACUUCUCCAGCGCAGGAGGCGCCCUGCGUCCUCGCCUGCGCCCUUCUACCCCUGUGCCCAGCUCUCCUCCAGCUCAGCAUCGGAGCGGGAGGGUGUAGGUGCUGGGCGCCCCCGGAGGGCCGGGGAUAGUCCCGGAACCCCCAAACUGGGAAGGAAAUGAGAGUGGGACCGGGAGGCGGCGGCAGGAGAAAAGUUAGUGGCAGAGCGCGGGCAACGGCGAGGGCCGGUGCGCAGUCAUCAGAGACGCAACGGGGCUUGGGACGCAUCAGAGUCCCUCAGUCGCGCGGCUCAGCGGCGUUAUGUGAAUGCGGGACAGCGGGACGCGCCCCAAGUGUGCGUCCCGGGGCUACGCCGAUCGCUGAGCUGGAUGCUGGCGAACCCGAAAAGGGGAAAUCAGUUAUAACAAUGCUUUUGAAUAGGAGCAGAAUGUCUAGAGCACCUGAUCUCCUGACACAGAGCAAUCAACUCCGUCUACAGGAUCAGGAUGGUGAGCUUAGGAAUUCACAGGACCAGUGAGUGACCCAGCCUGGAUCCUACAGGAUAAAAGGGGAGGGAAGCUUGGAGAGAGAGGCAGUAACUCAGCACAAUGAAACCUAAUGGAACAGAACACAGCCUAAUUCCUAGGAGACCUGUGCAGCCACUCUGAGACUUUACGACCAUAUCUGACUUCUCCUGUGGGUGUUCCUUAUAAGGCUGCUCAAAAUUCCCUAACGAGAGGCAAUCACAUAAAACCAGGCUGGCUUCUGCAGGUUGAUGAGUUGGGUCUGGUUAGCAGAAGCCUGCAAUUUCUGUUUGCCUGGUGCCUGCUGGGGACCUGAGGGGUGGGGUGCUCAGAACUUUGACCCACAAGCUGUUUGCAUCUUCAUCCAUCUUUGCUUCAGGGUAGUGACUACACAGUGUAAUGAGACGUCAGAGUUAAAAUAGGUCAUUUCCUAAGGAAAAUGGCAUAUAUCUGAUUUUUUUAUGGCGUAAAGAAACAGGAAAACUCAAUUAGUCAAGCACAUCGGCUGGCUAGUUCCUCCAGAUCACCACUGUUUGGUUUUGCCUUCUGUGUUAAGAGUGCCAUAGGUCAGGAUUGAAAAUAACAUUUCUCCAGGCAACCAGGCUUUUAAUCUCAAUGAAGGAGAAGGGUGAGUAUGAGAGACAAUAGGAAGUAAGGAGGCAGAGACCUGGAGAACACAUCCACGUGUUCCCAUGUUUGACUCAGAGCAUUGCUGGUUCUUCCACGUGUUUUCAAAACAAAGUGUUAAAGUCACUCAGUCGUGUCCAACUCUUUGUGACCCCAUAGACUGCAUCCUACCAGUCUCCUCUGUCCAUGGAAUUCUCUAGGCAAGAAUACUAGAGUGGGUUGCCAUUCUCUUCUCCAGGGGAUCUUCCUGACCCAGGAAUCGAACCCGGGUCUCCUGCAUUGCAGGCAGAUUCUUUACUGUCUGAGCCACAAGGGAAACCCCUGAUUCUGAACUCCCUAACUAUCCCUUCCCUCAUCUUCCCCACCCCUCACCCCCUCAACCAUGAGUUCCUUCUCUAAGUCUGGGUCUGUUUCUAUU
ensembl:lncRNA